rnacentral:lncRNA from 1 species
UCUCCCACUCUGUGGACAAAUUUCCUUUCCCCUAACCCUUGAUAGUCUUUCCAGUUCAGGAAAGCUUAGAGGGUCACAAUAUAUAGUCACUGAUACUUUCACAAAUUUUGUGAUACUCCAUGAAUCAAAACAAUGGUAAAACAAUGACUUUGUUCUCCUUCCCCCCCACCCCAGGUCUGGAUUUAUCUUCUUCCAUUCAUGAAUACCAUAUGUGAUUCUUGCUUCGAGAAAGGUGGCAGGUUACUCAAGGCCAUAAGGAUCUUCUCCAGCACCAAAAGAUUAUGGAAAGGGUCAUCGACGGUCGUAAGUCGGAAAAAACUCUCCAAUCUGCGAUUCCGCUGCAUUGUGGAUCCUGUGAAGGUAACUGUGAGGAUGGGCAACCCACGCGAAUCCAAGACCUACUCUACUCAAGUUGGCAGGAAAAAUAAGGCCUGCUACUCCGGUGAAUGGUCAAGCCGUAAUGAUGAAGAUAAUAAGAAAGCCAGCUGGUACAUAAACCAACAACAUCACCAGACCAGUCCAUACAGUUCCCGUCUCUCAGACACAGAAACCCCUCAGCCAGCAUGUCCUGCUGGAUCGGUUGCCUCAUGGGUGCGUUUCAGAUUCAGUUCUCCAGAGCACGUGGCUGAUGUGGGAAGCAGCUCAACUCAUUAUGGCGUCCAUACCCGUAACCACCAGAGGGCCACUGGUGACAAACGAUGUAGCUCUGAGGUAGCUGGAGAGGGUAGCCAUGGGCAGAAGUUCCUGAAAUACUCUGUGGGGUUCAAUACAGAAGAACCUGCUCUCUGCCAUCUGGAACGUCCUCAUGAACAGCUUAAUCAUCAGACCAGUGAGACCAAUUUCAUCCCUAGCCCCAUAUUAUCAGGCCCCAGUCGGGUGGUGUACUCAGCCCUGGCUUCAGAUACAGCAUCCAGAACUCGUUUCAACAAUUACACCUAUCCACAUUCUCCAAGAGGUCCGCAGCACCAUCUCGGGCUAGAAUGGCACCAGCGUUUACCAGUAGCCCAGCAAGCAGAGGUGUAUGUCUACUUGGUCAGCCCACCCCCUCCCAGCCCUGAACACAACCCCGAGCAGCCCAACCAUCCCUUCUCAGCACCUCAGACCACCUCUGGGAAGGAUGGGCUGGCCAACAGGAUCUCUCUCAGCCAGAGCAGGGGCAGUUCCAGUCAAGGGCCAAUGGUCCAUGGGAGCAGCGAGACCCACAAGCAACGCAGGAGCAUCUGGGAGAGAAAGCAUCAAAGAAGGUCCCUGCAGCCAAAUUUGGACUAUGAAAAGUUGGCAGGUAGCAGUGGGGGUGGCAACCUGGAACAUCAUGAAACGUUCCCCCACAAUUCAUCCCUUUUGGCAGACAGGGGGAGAGGAGGACCUGAGGCCACACCACCUACCAUUCCCAGCUGAAGAUGCUUCUCAGUGAGGGUGAAACACUGGAUAAACUCCUUGGGAAAGGAAGAAACAGCAUUUUCUGAUGUUUCACGGAACACCAUGGGCAUGCUUGGGUCAAUUAAAAGGAAGACAGCACAAAUAUUUCUGUAUUCUUAUUUUGUUAUUUAAUCUGUUUGUAAUUUUUUCCCUCUUCUUCU